rnacentral:misc_RNA from 1 species
ACGGAGUCUGUUCCGGAGUGACGGAAUUUAGUAUUUUCAAAGGGAAGCUACUGCGGUCACGAAAGAAUCCACUUCCUGAAUUUAUUUAUUCAGCUAUUCCGAAAGUCGAUUUCGAAAUAAAGGAAACAUCUGCUGUUUUGAUAAAGUAAUAAAUAUACAAAAUGAGUUAUCCAUAUGGAGGAGGUGGCUACCCAGGUCAAGGUCAGCCCGGAUACCCAGGCCAGGGCUUCCCCCAGCCCGGAGGUGGUUACCCCCAGCAAGGAUAUGGUGCACCACAACCAGGGGUUGGCAUGCCAACACCAGAGUCUGCGUCUGCUGCAGCAUAUGGUUCUCAGCCUGGUGGAAUGCCGUAUGGCACAGCGCCACCUGGUGGAGCUCCAGGAGGGCUAGGAUUCGGGAUGCCUCAAGGACCUCCACAACCAGGUUACCCACAGCCACCUAAUGUUUCUAUGCCAGCUGGUCCUGGAGCUGGACAACCCACAUAUCAGCAAAAUGUGGGCUAUGGACAAAAUCCGGCUUAUAACACACCUGUACCUCAGCCAGGGUACAACCCACCAGGAGCCCCGGGCUAUCCUGCACAGGGUGGUGCCCCAGGCUAUCCUCAGGCAGGUGGUGCACCAGGAUACCCACAGGCAGGGGGAGCACCAGGCUACCCAGGUCAGGCACCAGCUGGGGGAGCACCAGGCUACCCAGGUCAGGCACCAGGUCAAGCACCAGCUGGGGGAGCACCAGGCUACCCAGGUCAGGCACCAGCAGGUGGCUAUGGAGGUUAUGGACAGAGUCAGCCUGGGGCUCCAGCAUCAGCCCCAGGAGGUAUGUCAUAUGCCCCCAAUGUAACUGCAGGACAGAAUGUGUCGGCUCUGGGACAGGGAGGGGCACAUACAGGAUAUAAAGUUAGGGAAGAUCCUACUUUGAGGCCAGCUGCAAAUUUCAGUCCUGAAAAUGAUGCCAAAAUUCUGAGAAAGGCAAUGAAGGGAUUUGGUACGGAUGAGAAGGCUAUUAUCGACAUCUUGGCUUACAGAACCAACAGUCAGAGGCAACAGAUCAAACAGAUGUUUAAAACCUGUUUUGGAAAGGAUUUGAUUCAAGACUUGAAAAGUGAGUUGGGUGGUAAUUUUGAAGAUGUUAUUCUCGCCUUGAUGAUGAGUACAGAGGAGUAUGAUGCUUACGAACUCAAGAGGGCAAUGAGGGGUAUUGGAACAGAUGAGGAUGCAAUGAUUGAGAUUCUAUGUUCUAGAAGUAAUGCUCAGAUACAGAAAAUCAACCAGACAUACCAGCAUAUGUAUAGACAAAAGUUGGAAAAAGACAUCAUUAGUGAUACAUCAGGACAUUUUAAACGUCUGAUGGUUUCUAUGGCUAAUGGUGGUAGAAUGGAGAACCAGGCUGUAGAUAUGAACAAAGCUAAUACAGAUGCUCAAUCCCUGUAUCAAGCUGGAGAAAAGAGAUGGGGUACAGACGAGUCACAGUUUAAUGUAAUCAUGGCAUCGCAAAGUUUUGAGCAGUUGAGGGCGGUAUUUGACGCAUACUCUAAAAUCUCUGGUAGAGACAUUGAGCAAGUAAUUAAGAGUGAAAUGUCUGGAAAUCUUGAACUUGGAAUGCUUGCUAUUAUAAAGUGUGUGCGGAACAAGCCAGGUUACUUUGCAGAAAAAUUAUACAAAUCGAAUGAAGGGUGCUGGUACAGAUGACAGGACGCUGAUCCGAGUUAUUGUAACCCGUGCCGAGGUAGAUAUGGUGCAGAUUAAACAAGAGUUCCAGAAGAUGUAUGGUCAGAGCCUGGAGCAGUUUGUCAGGGGUGACACAUCAGGAGAUUAUCGGAGGUGUUUGCUUUCUCUGAUAGGAGGAUCAUACUGAGCGCCACAUCUAUUUUGCCUUUUUUCCAUAUUUAUCACAUUACAUGUUCUUAGAUAUUUAGUUUCGUUAUUUAUUGCCAUAUUAUUUUGAAUCCCUUUUGUUGCCAUGGAUACAGACAUUAUUUAGUAGUGUUAAAACAAUAGUUUGAGAAGACAAAUUUUGUUGUGAUGUUGACUCGAGGCAGGAUUAAUGGACUUUAGCUGUAAGAGAUUGGAACUGUGCAUACCGGUAAUGCAUUUGUGAAAGGCAGACGUAAUAAGAUGAGUGUUUUUUUUUUAAUGGCAGUUGAGAAAAUGAAAAUAUAGCCAUAUUGUACAGCUUAAAUACAAGUGAACAGCUGGCAAACUUUUGUACCUGUACGCAAACAAAUCAAGGAUAUUCCUUGUUUUGAAUUUUUUUACGUCUUUUAUUAAGUUGUUUAUGGUAAUCAGACUGGAUUUCUUAUAUUGUUCUUUGAAUAUUUAUUUGUAACUCUUGAAAACUGGGAUAAAAUAUAAUAAUGAAGUGUAAUUCAUUUUUUUUAUUUACUCUCCAUUUACAAAUCAUGUUUUCUUACAUUUUGUCUGUACUGUUAAAUACUACAUAUUCAACACACAUGCGAUUUAAGAAUUUGAAAUCUAAGCAGAAAUCUUUUCUAGCCAGAAGUCUCAAUUUGUAUUAAAAUCUUAACUGGCAAAAACACAGCUAACUUAGGAUAAGUUUUGUACGACUUUGUAUUAUUUUAUAAUUUUAAUAAAAGCAUUAAAUCGA